AUUGAACGCUGGCGGCAGGCCUAACACAUGCAAGUCGAGCGAGCGGCGGACGGGUGAGUAAUGUAUGGGAAACUGCCUGAGGGAGGGGGAUAAAUAAUGGAAACGGUAGCUAUUACUGCAUACCAUCAGAUGUGCCCCGAUGGGAGUAGCGAGUGGGUGGGGUAACGGCUCACCUAGGCGACGGUCCCUAGCUGGUCUGAGAGGAUGACCAGCCACCCUGGAACUGAGACACGGUCCAGACUCCUACGGGAGGCAGCAGUGGGGAAUAUUGCACAAUGGGCGCAAGCCUGAUGCAGCCAUGCCGCGUGUGUGAAGAAGGCCUUCGGGUUGUAAAGCACUUUCAGCGAGGAGGCGUUACCCGCAGAAGAAGCACCGGCUAACUACGUGCCAGCAGCCGCGGUAAUAC
rnacentral:rRNA from 1 species